UAUACAGACAGGGAAAGAAUAUUCAAGGAGCAAGUACUAUCUAACUCAAAGGCCUUAUAACAUGUUUCUACUAGGUUUUUAAAAGAUCAUCUGCUGUUAAGAAAAUGCAUCAAGGAGACUGAAAGUAAAGAAGGUGAAGCCACUUAGGAAGUCAUUCAGUCAAGGCAAGAGGUCAUUAGUGUCUUGGACUAGGGGAUGUCAUAGUGGUAAUGACAAGAAGUGUAUGAAAUACAAAAAUUUACUAGAUAAAUAAUAUGUCAAUUCUGACAACUGACAUACUAGGUACUUACUAAAUAUUUGCUAAUUUAAUAUCAAUGUGAAUAAUAAAAUAAUUUAAAAAUGUGAAUUCAUUCAACAUUUGCUAACACAAUGAGAUCAAAGCUUUAAGAAAUUAAGACAAAUUUGGAGUAAGUUUGAGUAUUUGCUUUUUAUUUUUGCCAUGAUAUCUGCCUCUUAAAGCUUAGUUUAAAUUCUAUAUUGUCUAAGGAAAAAUCUGUCUCCAUAGCUAUAUUCUCAUGGCAAAUUUGCUCUAGCUCCAUUGUAGCAUUUAUCAUUGUCUACCUUAGACAUUUAUGUGUUCAUCUGCCCAACUAUAUUAUGGUUGGUAGUGAAAGCUAAUUUUAAAAAAAUCAUUUGAAUUCUGAUACAAUAAACUGUAUAUUGAAGACAUUAAAUAAUGUUAAACAAAAUGUUAUAUAUUUCUCACAGAAUAUUACUUGGGAAAAUUCAAUCUCUUAAGACUUUUAUUUGAUGACUCUUUCUGUCAGAAAUAAUCUUCCAAUGGACAGGAAAUUAAUUGUUUACAGUUUUUAUUUCAAGUUAAAGUUUAUUUUAAAAAGUAGUGUUUUAAAACAUGUUUCAAUGCCAGACAUAGCAAAGACUAUUUCACUAAUACAAACAGUUUUUGAUGAUGCAUUUCAUUAUGGGAGCUGAGGUUAUAUAUAUUUCAUUUCUAUGUGAUGAAUCCCGAGGAGUAGAAUUGCUGCAUCAUAGGGUAAGAAGCCCUUUGAUAGCGAAGACAAUAUCUAAUGCUGUGUAUAUAAAGCUUCAAAAAUAUUGGUUAAAUCAAUUGCCAGAGACAGAAAUGGGAAAGUUCCAGUUGUCCAGCAUGUAAUUUGGAGAAAAAAAAAGAACACGCUGUCUUCAGGAUAGGUCCUUGACAACUAUUUUUUGAAGAGCUAUGGGCCAGGAUCUGAGCUGGGAUUUUUAAUCUGUAUUCUCAAUAUGCAUGGAAUAUAUGUGUCAGAAUCUAGCCAUUAUGCAGGAAGACCACUGCUGGACUUGAGAAAAAUUUCCACAAUGCACUAUUUUCAAUUAUGGACAUAUUAGAAAAGAGUAUUCUACAUUUUGUGCCACAUUUUCUGAAUCCAGUCUAUCAUUGUUGGAGAUUUGGGUUGGUUACAAGUCUUUGCUAUUGUGAAUAGUGCCGCAAUAAACAUACAUGUGCAUGUGAAAAUGUGGCACAUAUACACCAUGGAAUACUAUGCAGCCAUAAAAAAUGAUGAGUUCAUGUCCUUUGUAGGGACAUGAAUGAAGCUGGAAACCAUCAUUCUCAGCAAACUAUUGCAGGGACAAAAAAACCAAACACUGCAUGUUCUCACUCAUAGGUGGGAAUUGAACAAUGAGAACACUUGGACACAGGAAGGGGAACAUCACACACUGGGGCCUGUUGUGGGGUGGGGGGAGGGGGGAGGGAUAGCAUUAGGAGAUAUAUCUAAUGUUAAAUGAGGAGUUAAUGGGUGCAGCACACCAACAUGGCACAUGUAUACGUAUGUAACAAACCUGCAUGUUGUGCACAUGUACCCUAGAACUUAAAGUAUAAUAAAAAAUAUAUUAAAAAAGAAAAGAGUAUUCUAUUCAUUUUGUAUAUUUUUCCAUAUUUCUACAAAGGGUCCUAACAUAUAAGUAACUUCUGUUGCUCAGUGUAUGACCUUCGUUAAACAGUGCUUGUGCCAAAACCUCAAGAAUGCAUUACUUUCCUCUUUUGAGAGGAGAAAAAUAUAAUUUUGCAGGGUUGCAUGGGAUGAAAAUAAUGAAAAUAUACAAAUCCGUUAUUUAUAUUUAGUUGACUUAUUUGUCCCACACAGCCU
rnacentral:lncRNA from 10 species